rnacentral:rRNA from 1 species
UACGAACUGUGCAAACGUUUAUUCGGAAUCACUGGGCUUAAAGGGUGCGUAGGCGGCUUGUUAAGUAGGGUGUGAAAUCCCCCGGCUCAACCGGGGAAUUGCGCCCUAAACUGGCGAGCUGGAGUGAGAUAGGGGUGUGUGGAACUUCCAGUGGAGCGGUGAAAUGUGUUGAUAUUGGAAGGAACGCCAGUGGCGAAAGCGACACACUGGGUCUCAACUGACGCUGAGGCACGAAAGCCAGGGGAGCAAACGGG